rnacentral:rRNA from 1 species
UACGGGGGGGGCAAGCGUUGUUCGGAAUUACUGGGCGUAAAGGGCUCGUAGGCGGCCAACUAAGUCAGACGUGAAAUCCCUCGGCUUAACCGGGGAACUGCGUCUGAUACUGGAUGGCUUGAGUUUGGGAGAGGGAUGCAGAAUUCCAGGUGUAGCGGUGAAAUGCGUAGAUAUCUGGAGGAACACCGAUGGCGAAGGCAGCUCGCUGGGACGGUACUGACGCUGAGGCGCGAAAGCGUGGGGAGCAAACAGG